rnacentral:rRNA from 1 species
GAUGAACGCUAGCUACAGGCUUAACACAUGCAAGUCGAGGGGAAACGAUAUUGGAAGCUUGCUUCCGUUAGGCGUCGACCGGCGCACGGGUGAGUAACGCGUAUCCAACCUGCCCAUCACUUGGGGAUAACCUUGCGAAAGUAAGACUAAUACCCAAUGACGUCUCUAGAAGACAUCUGAAAGAGAUUAAAGAUUUAUCGGUGAUGGAUGGGGAUGCGUCUGAUUAGCUUGUUGGCGGGGUAACGGCCCACCAAGGCGACGAUCAGUAGGGGUUCUGAGAGGAAGGUCCCCCACAUUGGAACUGAGACACGGUCCAAACUCCUACGGGAGGCAGCAGUGAGGAAUAUUGGUCAAUGGGCGAGAGCCUGAACCAGCCAAGUAGCGUGCAGGAAGACGGCCCUAUGGGUUGUAAACUGCUUUUAUAAGGGAAUAAAGUGGGAGUCGUGACCCCUUUUGCAUGUACCUUAUGAAUAAGGACCGGCUAAUUCCGUGCCAGCCGCCGCGGUAA